GUCGACGGUGUCUUCGGACAUAGUGGCGCACGGGUGCGUAACACGUAUGCAACCUACCUUACAUUGGGGGAUAGCCUUUCGAAAGGGAGAUUAAUACCGCAUAAGACAGUAGCUGGACAUCCAGCAGCUGUUAAAGAUUUAUCGAUGUAAGCUGGGCAUGCGUCCAAUUAGCUAGUUGGUGAGGUAACGGCUCACCAAGGCUAUGAUUGGUAGUGGAACUGAGAGGUCAAUCCCCCACACUGGCACUGAGAUACGGGCCAGACUCCUACGGGAGGCAGCAGUAGGGAAUAUUGGGCAAUGGACGCAAGUCUGACCCAGCCAUGCCGCGUGCAGGAUGAAGGCGUUAUGCGUUGUAAACUGCUUUUAUACAGGAAGAAACGACUCUUGCGAGAGGCAUUGACGGUACUGUAUGAAUAAGCACCGGCUAACUCCGUGCCAGCAGCCGCGGUAAUACGGAGGGUGCAAGCGUUGUCCGGAUUUAUUGGGUUUAAAGGGUGCGCAGGUGGUUUAUUAAGUCAGUGGUGAAAGACGGUCGCUCAACGAUUGCAGUGCCAUUGAAACUGGUAGACUUGAGUAAAGUAGAGGUGGGCGGAAUUGAUAGUGUAGCGGUGAAAUGCAUAGAUAUUAUCAAGAACUCCAAUUGCGUAGGCAGCUCACUUGGCUUUUACUGACACUCAUGCACGAAAGUGUGGGUAUCAAACAGGAUUAGAUACCCUGGUAGUCCACACUGUAAACGAUGAUAACUAGGUG
rnacentral:rRNA from 1 species